GGUGUACUCAGGAGCCAGGAUGAAAACCAGCAGCGUGGACCCAAGUGUGGCCAGAGGGGAGGAGAUGAUUACAGAAUUUCCGUUCUGCCAGGAUAUAAGGGAGAUCCAGUCUUUGAAGCCAGCAGGAAGAAACUUGAAGCCACAUGUCUACAGCAGUGUCCUGGCAGACAGGAAUAAAUGGACACACUUUCCAAGGUCACGAGAAAGAAAUGCAAUUAGUAUGUAAAACAGCGGCUCUCCUGGAAAUGACUGCUCGGGGGCUGAGCUCAGAUGAGAAGAUUUACAACAGAGAAAAGCUGUGUGAAGCCAGUGGAUGUGGAUGUGCAAAAAAAAAAAAAAAAAAAAAAAAAAAAACGUGGCAAAAAUCACUAAGGGCCCUAGAGGGCGACUGAGAAUUAGAAACAGGAUUUGAGCUACAGGUGAUGUUCUGUCUUUGAAGGUGGAGUCUUUAAGCUUAGCGUCUCGUACACGCUUUCUGCUCUCCCAAAUGCUACCCAACAUGUGUUUUCAAUUGAACUUUGAAACUAACAUUUUAUGUUUUUGGAGAAAACGUAGAAGUCAUUAUGAAACUAAUAAUAGCAUCGAAGGUGCUGUUCAUUCAGACAGUGUCCCAGAGUUGGGGACAUAAAA
ensembl:antisense Tmem132cos transmembrane protein 132C, opposite strand